GGGUUCAGGAUUGUGAUUUGUAGGUAGUGAUUGCAACUGCUACAAUAUGUCGAAGCUUCUAUCUGGAAAAUUGGCAUUUGUUACCGGUGCUGGAAGUGGCAUUGGAAGAGAAAUAUGUCGAAUUUUCGCUAAAGAAGGUGCUCAAGUUAUUGCAACUGACCAGAACAUCAAAAGUGCUGCAGAAACUGUAGCUACUUUAGAAAAUGUUGGACAUAUUGCAUUAAAUGUUGAAGUUUCUGAUCGAAAAAGUGUGGAGACAGCAUUUCAAGAUGUCUUAAAACAAUUUUUAAAACCACCCACUAUCAUCGUUAAUUCAGCAGGCAUUACGCGAGAUAACUUUUUAGUGAAACUCAGCGACAAUAAUUUUGACAACGUAAUUAAGGUCAAUUUGAAGGGUACCUUUCUUAUUAUGCAAACUGCUGUCAGAGCAAUGAUAGAGGCAAAUGCAACAAAAAAUUCCUCGAUUAUUAAUAUUAGUUCGAUUGCUGGUAAACAUGGAAACAUUGGGCAAAGUAAUUAUAGUGCGUCAAAAGCUGGAGUAGUAGCUAUGACAAAGAGCGCUUCUAUGGAAUUUGGAGAAUUUGGUAUUCGAGUAAACGCAGUAGCACCUGGUUUUAUAGAUACUCCUAUAACUGUAACUGUACCUGAUAAAAUUAAAGAAGUUUUUAUUAAAAAAGUACCAUUACGAAGAAUUGGGAAGCCACAAGAAGUGGCAGAGGUUGUUGCAUUUUUGGCUUCUGAUAAAAGUUCUUACAUAAAUGGAACAUGCAUCGAAGUUACUGGUGGAGGAUAUUAAAUUUCAUGAUUCAAUAUAUUAUUGGCAAUAUGAAUUCGGAUUGCUCACCUAAUCGCUCACGGUCUGAAUAAGGACAUAUAACUGUCUCAGGAUAAAUAAUUGUAUAGUAUCGUUUAGCUGAUUAAUUUUACAAAAGUAUCUCCUUUUUUGACAAUUUUAUACUGAUAUCAACAUAGCAGAAUAUAAAUUUUUCAUAAUUAAGAUGUGAUACACGCACUUAUUAAACAUAUGCACAUUUUGAUACAUAUAAUUUGUACAAAAAUAUACAAUAGAUAUAAGUCCAGUAUGUUGAAAAAGAAACAUGUAAAAAAGGUCUGAUAAACAAAAAGGAAAAGUUAAGAUGAUCGAUAUUUUCUCUCGAUAGCCAUCCAUAAUUUAUCGCAAUUAUUUUUAAAACUAUUUUUAAAAUCAUUCCAUUGAAAAAAAA
rnacentral:misc_RNA from 1 species